rnacentral:rRNA from 1 species
GUGUCAGCAGCCGCGGUAAUACGGAGGAUGCAAGCGUUAUCCGGAAUGAUUGGGCGUAAAGCGUCUGUAGGUGGUUUCUUAAGUCUCCUGUCAAAGAUCAAGGCUUAACCUUGAAAAGGCAGUGGAAACUGGGAGGCUUGAGUACGGUAGAGGCGGAGGGAAUUCCCGGUGUAGCGGUGAAAUGCGUAGAGAUCGGGAAGAACACCAAGGGCGAAAGCACUCUGCUGGGCCGAAACUGACACUGAGAGACGAAAGCGAGGGGAGCAAAUGGGAUUAGAUACCCCAGUAGUCC